rnacentral:rRNA from 1 species
CAUGCGAGUCGAGCGGAUCUACAUUAGCUUGCUUUUGAAGAUCAGCGGCGCCACUUNGAUGAGUAACACGUUGGGCAACCUGCCUGUAAGACUGGNAUAACUUCGGGAAACCGGAGCUAAUACCGGAUAACCCUUUCCCUCACAUGAGGGAAAGCUGAAAGACGGUUUCGGCUGUCACUUACAGAUGGGCCCGCGGCGCAUUAGCUAGUUGGUGAGGUAACGGCUCACCAAGGCAACGAUGCGUAGCCGACCUGAGAGGNUGAUCGGCCANACUGGGACUGAGACACGGCCCAGACUCCUACGGGAGGCAGCAGUAGGGAAUCUUCCGCAAUGGACGAAAGUCUGACGGAGCAACGCCGCGUGAACGAUGAAGGCUUUCGGGUCGUAAAGUUCUGUUGUCAGGGAAGAACAAGUAUCGGAGUAACUGCCGGUACCUUGACGGUACCUGACCAGAAAGCCACGGCUAACUACGUGCCAGCAGCCGCGGUAAUACGUAGGUGGCAAGCGUUGUCCGGAAUUAUUGGGCGUAAAGCGCGCGCAGGCGGUUCCUUAAGUCUGAUGUGAAAGCCCCCGGCUCAACCGGGGGAGGGUCAUUGGAAACUGGGGAACUUGAGUGCAGAAGAGGAGAGCGGAAUUCCACGUGUAGCGGUGAAAUGCGUAGAGAUGUGGAGGAACACCAGUGGCGAAGGCGGCUCUCUGGUCUGUAACUGACGCUGAGGCGCGAAAGCGUGGGGAGCGAACAGGAUUAGAUACCCUGGUAGUCCACGC